rnacentral:tRNA from 1 species
GGUCGCGUAGCUCAACCGGAUAGAGCGCCCGGCUCCUAUCCGGGAGGUUGCCGGUUCGAGUCCGGCCGCGAUCGCCA